UGACCAUCCGUUGCUUUUGCCAUCGGAUUAUGGCCAUACGGACAGCCCGGUCAAAAGCCGC
rnacentral:sRNA from 1 species